UUAGGUACGCGUUUUCAUUCCCACGCCGCAAGCACACGCAAACGCCUCCUCUACUCCUUUCUCUCCGCCUGAUCUGCGGCGGCUCCCUCCCAUGGUCCCCCGCCGCACCGAGGGGGCACGGCGCUGCAGAGAUGCGGGGCGACGUGCCGCCGCCUACCGCGCCCUUGGCUUCCUCCUCAUCUCCGGCCCCUCGAUCCUCUUCGCCGGCGGCGAGCUCUUCGGGUCGGGGCCCUCGCCGCUCGUCUUCCUGACCCUGUUCCUGAUCGAGGGCGGCGGCAUGGACCUCUCCCGCGUGGGCGAGAGGCUCCUCAGCUCCAUCCGCUCCGCCCGCUCCCUCAGUCUCCUCCCCCCGACCCCAGCCCCUUCUCGCGCCGAGGUACCGUGUUGCUCCCUCCCUCCCCGCCAUCCACCAUUCAUGCUGUGUUAGAUCCAGCGAUUGGGCAGGGUGCCCUUUUGCUCGGCACUGGCGACGAUGACGACAUACCAGAGUGGAAGUGGUUCGAUGACUUGGAUGACGAGGAGAGCUACGAGCGGUUCCUGCAGCGUGAGCGACGAGGAGUGACGGCGUGCGACUACACUGAGGUGUACGCCUCCAUUCAGGCAACUGCGGCCGUCGCGUCGUAGAGCAGCGUUAUGCUAUGGUGAACUGGAUCAUCGAGAUUUACAGUCAUGACUUGGUGUUGUGCCGACUGUGCCAUCUCCUAGGUUGUCCGUCAAUUUAUGCGAUUCAGGUGCGAAUUGCUAUUCCUUUUUUCAGGCUUUCAUUCGUUCAAUUUGCCUUCAGUUUGUCAUGCUUUCGAUCAUUCUUGCUACGCGGCGGUGUGUAGUCGUUGACAGCUUUAGUUUGUCAUUCAUGCUUUCUGCGCAUGAUAGCUGUGUUGCUCAACAACGCAACAGGGUGUUGGCUAGGAUUGCCUUGUUCCAGAGCGCGUCACUGCUUAGCUAUAUGUCAUACAGUUAGAUUCAAAUGUUGGAACCAUUCAACUGGAAUCUCUAUGAACAAGAACUAAAACAGCAUGCAACACCAUCUUCUUCCAUUCAAUUAUAACUAUUAUACAUCCACACCAAACACUCAAUAAACAAUACACAAGCAAGAUAAGCAUGCUUAAAUAUUCUAUUCUCAGUGCUGUUCUUAGCCACCAAUACAGCUGAUACACCCACAAAGAACAACAAUGGCUUGAUAAGAACUAACUUUUUUCUUUUAUAUUCACAAUACACAAUGUGACAAGGAGCCUCAAGAGUACAUCACUGGCGGUGAGCACAUAAUUUAUCCAAACUGUUUCACUACUAAUUCAUAGUUGUCAUUGUUCGCUGAUGCCAAUACUCCCUCCGUUCCGAAUUACUUGUCGCAGAAAUGUAUGUAUAUAGAACUAAAAAAUGUCUAGAUACAUCCAUUUCUACGACAAGUAAUUCCGAACGGAGGGAGUACAUGUAUCGACAGAGCACAAUUUCAGGCCUAUGUAUAUGUAUAUGCAACCAUAUGUAUUGCGUUUUUCUUUCAAACUGGCCGAUGCACAAUAUAUGUAUUAAACCUGUUGUUAUGAAGUGUGUCUUGUCUUCACUGUCUUGUGUUUGCACUGAAUUUUAUUUCAUACUUUCCAUCUAAUGCCACUGUCUUGUGUUUGCACUAAAUUUUAUUUCAUACUUUCCAUCUAAUGCUCAUUUACUGAUCACUCAGGUAUCCUUAAUGUUGAUAUACCCUAUACGCUGUAGCUUCUGUCACUUGAGUUAUAUUCCUAUGUUCGCUGUAAGUGUUGUGACUUUAUUUUAUAUGGUAAGUAGAGAAGUGCAGUCACGCCUUCUUAUAAUGCCUUGUUCUUUCAGAUGCGUGGAUGUCAAUGUCUACUAAAUCAGUCAAUCACCCAUUAAAGAAAGAUCAUAUGGUUUUUUUGCACCCUGAUUUUACCUUAGCUUAGAUUAUAUAACCAUCAACUUGGUCAAGAUUGCUCGUGUGUCAUCUUAUUUUCUGUUUCGACGGUCGAAUACCCACACGCCAUCAAAGUUAGUGUGUGAUGUGCCUACUUUUAUUAGAAAAGCAGAGAGGAUGUGAUUGUUUUAUUUUUCUAAAAUUGGUAAUGUGGCAAUUAGCAUGGCUUCUGCUAUGUUGAUUUAGAUCCUGCUUGGGUACUGGUUACCUUAAGUAAUACUCUCUCCGUCCAAAAAUAAGUAGUUGAGAUACAUUGCAGAGAGUAAACAGAGCAUGUGUAUAAAGGUUGGUUAGGUCAACUUUGUUAUUGAUUUACACGGAACUGAACUUGUUGAUAUGGCGAUAGGGUCUGCAGUGUGCAUGGUUAUUGACCCAUGCUCAGCUUUCACAACAUGCAGAGAAUUUUUAAUGCUCAUACACUGGCUUCUAAUAUGGUUCAUACGUUACUUUUUAUUUUCUUUCUGAAAACAUCUUACUCGACUUAUCACUGUGUCGUGCGCCUGUAGGUUCCAGCUCGAGCUGCUGCGGCAGCGGCAGUGGCAGCUAUACUAUUCCAUUUUUCAGUUUUAUGUAGAGACUGACCGGGUGAAUUCUGUAGUUCAUAGUGAAUGAAGUAGAUGUUUAUUCUUGUAUUAGAUCAAAUAUUCAUUAUAUUCUGGCUAAAUCAACUGGUAAAACAAGUUGGUUUCUGUAUUGUUUGCGACCAAUUAUUGAUUGGAUUUCCUGAGUGUGCAGUGGUUUCUUCUGUUUGCCCAUUGAAUCUGCUGACAAGAGCUGUGAUAAUUCUAAGUUGGAGGAAGUUAUGGAAGAGGCUACCAAGCUCGAGGAAGCUGCACUUGACGAAGAAUAGAAGCUUGCCAGUGCUGAGAAGCUCGAAUGCACCGAUACGGAUACGGGUAUCAGUAUCGGGCCAAUACGGAUACGUAAAUUCGUCAUUUUCAAAAAGUGCCAAUACGGAUACGUUGUAGGUAAUCAAAGCCAUCUGGAGGAGAUGAGAAUGAUAGAUCUUCAGAGAUCAGAGAAGAAAGAAGAGGAGAUGAGCUUAGCUGGGCAGGAGAAAUGGAGAAGAGAAGUGUCCAUACAUGGCUGUUGCGUGAGAGGGGACGUUGGUGAGUAGGAGGAGGAGCUCGUCGCCGGCUAGCCGCCACUGCUGCUAGCCCUGGGACCUAGGUGAGCAGCUGCUGGCGACACAGCUGCCACCUGGUGUGAGCAUGGGUGGGAGGAAAGAUGCUGCGAGGGAAAGGAUGGGGGCAUUGGGGCACUAGGGUUGCUGGUUGCUUCUUAACUGGGCUGAGCGGGCUCUUACCUGGGCUGGAAAAGUAUCCAAAACGUACUGGCGAAGUAUCCUUAGAGUAUCGUCAUUGUUUUAAAUCAUUUAUUCUCGGAUACUCCAGCGAUACGUAUCGGGGGCGUAUCGGAGGAGUAUCGGUAUCGGAUACGGUAUCCGAUACGGAUUCGCUGGUCGGCUGAAGUAUCCGUGCAUUCGAGUUGAGAAGUAUGUUCCCAUGCUAGAAAUGGAGGAUUACCUAUCUUAGGUGUCAUUUCGAAGGCCACAUCAGAACCAGCCAUCAAGAGCAUUGAAGGUGCCUCAACUGAAGAUGGUGAGAGCGGCAAAUGGUCACCGGUGUUGGAGAUAGAUGAUGAGAUCAAUAGUGCCAGUUUAGAUAAGGAAGUAGCUGUCGUUGAAGUGCCAAAGGAAGCCAUAAAUGAAGAUGCUUUCAGUUCCACCGCCCAACUGCUGUAACAGAGAAGGAAGUCUCUGGUGUUGAUUUGAAGGAAGAUGCUCUCAGUUUAACCGUUGAGGCUGCUGAUGCUGCUAACAAUAUAGCCCCAGCAGCUGUGACAGCGAAGGAAGUCAUUGAUGUUGAACGGGAGCCUGCCACAGCGGCCGACCUAUGAGGUAUGCUAUUUGGUACCAGCACUUCAUUCUCAACAUAAGGUUGUGUCUGUUGCUCAUAUUGUCUUCAAAUACAGGUGUGAAAAGGCAUUUUUCUAGAUCUACAGAUUAUGGUUCUCAAAUACAAUACAUUGAAUGAUAUUGUAGAUUUUGUGAGCUUGUUCUUUAUAAGAAAAUAAUUGAACCUUUUCAAUUGUCAUUAUGCCAUUGAUAUCGAAAUCUUGCAUGACUUUUUGUUGAUUGUUUA